rnacentral:rRNA from 1 species
UACGAAGGGGGCUAGCGUUGUUCGGAUUUACUGGGCGUAAAGCGCACGUAGGCGGAUCUUUAAGUCAGAGGUGAAAUCCCAAGGCUCAACCUUGGAACUGCCUUUGAUACUGGGGAUCUUGAGUUCGGGAGAGGUGAGUGGAACUGCGAGUGUAGAGGUGAAAUUCGUAGAUAUUGGGAAGAACACCGGUGGCGAAGGCGGCUCACUGGCUCAUUUCUGACGCUCAUGCACGACAGCGUGGGGAUCAAACAGG